AUUCUCCUGCCUCAACCUCCCAAGGAGCUGGGAUUACAGGUGUGCACCACCACACCUGGCCAGCUGGCAGCUGAUCAGAUGGUGUCCACCCAUAUUAAAGUUCCAUUGAUGUGCUGAAUUAUAUUAACUGAUUUCCAUAUAUUGAACCACCUUGCAUCCCAGGAAUAAAGCCUACUUGACUGUGGUAGGUAAGCUUCUGAUGUAUGGCUGGAUUUGGUUUGCCAGUAUUUUCUUGAGGAUUUUUGCAUUAAUGUUUAUCACAAAU